ensembl:lncRNA
CUUCAAGACGUGUCAAAGAGAAAUAUGCAAAGGGUAUCAUCACGCUGUUCCCAUACCUGGCUGAUCCUAGGAGCAGGCUGGGCUAUGAGCAUUUUUACAAUGCAGAAGAUGGGAGUGGUUACCUGGCUUGGAGAUUGAAGUUUAUCCAAAAGGAAGCUUCUAAUGGACAAAACAAGACUCCCAGAAUGUCAAAAACGCAAAUGGGGGGCCCAACAUCUGAUAGAGACUGUUUCAGAGAAGACAACUGCCUAAUGACAGACAGCUUGUGUUCUGAGGCUAUUGCACUGAUGAAACAUACAGCUGAUGAAGGAAUUGUUAUGAUGAAGAUGAAGCAGACCUUCAACUAUCGCCAAAAGAUGAUUCAUGAUCCAGUGAAGUCAUCUGAUAUCUUUUUGGACUUCCCAAGAUUCCUGGAUAUAGGAGGAUUAAUUGAACAAGAUUUUACUUAGAUGUUCGAUGAAGCCACCUCUGUGAAGUUCCUGGAGAAGUGGCCCACUAUCUACAAGCAGAAAGUCCUCGAACAAAGCCGUGGUCUCACGCAAUCAGAUGACCUUCAGUACCUUGUGCAAAAUGCUGAAUGCACAAUAGAAGUGGAAAAUGGAUGGGACAGUGACAUGUCAUCCAUUUUGAUCCUUGUACACCUGUUACCACCAUCACCUCAUGGCCGCAAGAGACCAGGAAAGCUCUCAGCCAGACAAGCCUGUGACCAUCUUGUCAAGUUUGUCAAGACGGGAACUAGCAUCCAGGGGCAUCUCGAUGGCAUCACGGAGAGCCUUCAACCAUACCUUCUUGCAGUGGGCACU